UUGAAAUAUACUUUUUCAUAAACACUUAAUUUAAAAGAAAAUCUUAUUCCAUUGGCAGAUUUUUUUGCUUAUUUUCCUAGGUCAUUUUGCUCAUCAAGAAAAUGCAUCUUAAUUUAAGAAUUUUUUGAUAUUUUUACUGAAAACAAGACAAAAAUACAAAGCAAGUCAUUUUUUUGCAGUGUGACUCCAUUGAAUGUUCUUGUGUGAUAAAGAAAGUCUCUCUUUUUGUGUGUGGUGUGUGUGUGAUGUAGAUUAAAUACCGGGCCAAAACGGACAUGGCAGCAGGUCAAAAUCAAAUACAAGAACAUUCUGCAGAAUGCAGUGAAAAAGGAUACCCAGAGACAAGGCACGGGUGGUGGGUCACCAAAAGCUGACCUCAUCCCAGCAGAGGCCAGCUAUGGAGUUAAAUAAAGGCAGGCCUGUUGGAGGGAAUCCCUGGGGGAAAAGAGACAAGCAUAGGUCCCUCACAAGAUGCCACCCGCUUCAUACAAGUGUCUGGCAGCACUGUGUUACUGUUAAAGCCACCAGCACGAGCACCAGACGAUGCUGAUCCAUCCAUGACUCCAGAAUCUUUCGGACCUCUGAAAUCUAUCAGCACCUAUCACAAGGUGAAUUCUCUGGUGUGUUGCUGGGAGACAGGGGGUAUGGCUACCAGCCUUUUUUCCUGAAACCUUUCACAGACCCCCAGGAAGCACAGCAGGCCUACAACUAUGCCCAUGCUAGGGCCAGAGUUGAAAUGACCUUUGGCCUCCUGAAGGCACGCUCUCACUGCUUUCACAAAUUAAGGGUCAGCCCUGUGAGGGCAUGUGACAUUACUGUGGUUUGUGGUGUCCUCCACAAUGUGGCCUGCCUGAGGAAGGAGAAGGCACCCAGAGUUCCGCCAGCCCUGGACUGGGAAAAUCCGGAAAUCUUCCCUGAUGACGACAGUGGUCGGCUGCUGAGGCACCAAUAUGUGUUGAAUUAUUUUAGUUAGUAUGUAUGCUUUCAAUUUUGUUAGUUUUUUUAUUGAUUUGGCCUCUUUUGAUGUUUGUGCUGUAUACUGUGUGAAUACUGUUUGUAAUACAAGCUUGCAGGGAGGCAUCCAUUAAUUGUCUUGUUUUCAGUUGUCUGAAAUUGUCUGUUCAGUUAAUGUGUUUGGAUUUGUCCUGCAUUUAUUUCAGUGUGCAGACAUGCAGGGUGUGUUAUAUACAGACCUUUGAAUGUGUAUUUAUCCUUUGGUUGUAUAAUAUGCUUUGAUUCUGUGCUUUCCAUCUUGUAGAGUCACUGUGUGACUUCAGUUUCGAAAGGAGCUUAUGGUUUACCUGCUUUGUU